rnacentral:lncRNA from 1 species
UUAUUCUAUUUCUUAUAUAAAUUAUUUUAUUUUGAUAAGAUUCAAAUAUUCCUUAUAAGAAAAUAGUUUUGCCAAUUAUUUUUUUUAAAACAAUAGCAUUAUUAGACGUUGUUCAAAAUAUCUGAUAGUUAUUAGUUUUUGAUUUGUUCGAACGUUCCAUUGACAAAUGAGUGGUCAGAAAACUUUCUUGUUAUACGAAUACUAGAUUAUUUAAAAGAUGUUUUAAAAUAAGUCUGUUUAUACAAGAUAAAAUGCUUUAGUCAUCAUGGUCAACGACGUAUCAGUCUUUACAUCGGUUUUGUGUUGGGGUCUGUAUCAGUUAUGUAUAUGACUGAUUUUGGUUUCCGUAUCAGUCUACGUUAAAGUUUCAGAUCGGUUCGUGCAUCAGUUUCAGUGUCAGUCUUGUGUCUGCAUCUGUUUUUAGUACUCGUGUCAGUGACCAUUUCAGUUCAGUCUCAGUUAUGUUGUGUUUUGCUUCCGCUGAUAUGACUUUACUUGUACUGUUGAUUUCUCCGUAAUAUGGGAUGAUCUGGGAUUUCAGUGAGGAGCGUUAGGAAGUCGCUGGUCAAGAUUCUUUAUUUCAGUAAUGUAAUAAAUGUAAUUAAGGGUUUUCUAUUUAAUGCUAUGGAUUAGCUUUUAGUUUUGAUAUCUGUAAGAGUGACACGUCAGCCCUAGCGGGGUUGGGGUGUUACAGUAAGCCUAUAAACUGGUUGUCUUGGCUCGUUUUUUAUGUGGAAAUGCUAUCUUAAGGGAUUAGUCCCACUCACAUUAUUCUUCUUGAAGUGAUUUGAGAAAGUGUAAGACUAAUAGUAAUUUUUCAAACUCAGGGUCGAAAAAGGAGAACGUUACAUAAAUCUAUGGCAAUAGGUACUUCAAGCAUCAAAAUCAGCCUUUCUGAACCCGAACAUACCGAAAUUGAAGCCAUGGAUGCGGUGAUUAAUCUUGCACUAAACCAAUGGUUCAUGUUUACAAUAGGUGCAUAACUACUAUUUGAUGUAAAACGUUGUUCAACAUUCAGACUUUAUUGUUUUGAACAAAUCUAAAGCCUUAUUUAUU